rnacentral:misc_RNA from 1 species
GAUGAAGAACGCAGCGAAAUGCGAUAAGUAAUGUGAAUUGCAGAAUUCAGUGAAUCAUCGAAUCUUUGAACGCACAUUGCGCCCGCCAGUAUUCUGGCGGGCAUGCCUGUUCGAGCGUCAUUUCAACCAUCAAGCCCCAGGCUUGUGUUGAGGACCUGCGGCUGCCGCAGGCCCUGAAAACCAGUGGCGGGCUCGCUGUCACACCGGGCGUAGUAGAUUUUAUCUCGCUCAGGGCGUGCUGCGGGUUCCGGCCGUUAAAAAGCCUUUUUUACCCAAGGUUGACCUCGGAUCAGGUAGGAAUACCCGCUGAACUUAAGCAUAUCAAUAAGCGGAGGA